GUUUCUGUAGUGUAGUGGUUAUCACGUUUGUCUAAGCUGCAAACGGUCUCUGGCUCAAAACCAGGCAGAAACA